AGCGCGGCUAGGUCGGCCAGCCGAAAAGGACGUAUCCCGAAGCGUCCCUGUUGCGCUGUUUUACCUAAUA
rnacentral:sRNA from 1 species